UGAGGAGGACUCUGACCGACGUCAGGCUUAGCUGUCUAUACUGUGAGUGGACAUUUUAUUUUUAAAGGAGUAUGCAUGCAUGAUUUGUUUAGAAAAUCAUCACUAAUUUUCUGAGUUGAUUUUAUUAUUUCUUCUAUGAAGGGAUCUUGAAAAUGAUUUGAGUUAUUCUAUUUUAAGCAUGUUAACGUGUGAGACACGUUGAAUUUAAUUAACUAUAUUGCUCUUAGAAUUUUUCCAAGUACGGUUGGGAAUCGUACUUAUAUUUUAUUUAUGAGUUUUGGGGAAACUCAUAUGAUUUAUAUUUUCCUUAUGCCAUAUUCUUGGAAUAUAUAUGAUGUCAAUGCUAGCAUGUCGUUCCACCUUUCGAGGUGAUGUGACACCCACGUUUCAAGUGGGGUCACGCAAGCCCUUUCCACCCUAGUGGUGAUGUGAUGUUGCCGGCGGCAUCACGCAAGCCCUGUGCCCUAUCCGUCAACUCGACGUGAAGGUACAGGGAGUAUGGGAGUACUAUGCCUGGGAGGCAACCGAGUCUGGGAGACUCACUUAUAUGGCCAUAUAGGAUAUUCUAUUUGAGUUGUUAAAUUGACUAGCAGGGCUAGUCCAUUAUUUUUGGAAGUUUUUUUUUAUACGAGAAAUCUAUUUAUUUUUCUUAUUGUUUUACGACUAGCGGGGCUAGUGGGAAUUUUGGUUGAGCUUAUAAUAUCUGCAUGCAAGAAAAUUCUUGGUUUCCGUAUAAAUGGAAAAGCAUAUAAAAGUUUGAUUUAGUAUCAUUAUGCUCUUGGAUAUUUAUUUAAUUAGUUUGUUUUUCGUCCACUCACGCUAACGUUUUUAAAUGCUUUUCCCUGGGCCCUUUGUUUUCAAAUGCCCAGAUUACAGAGCUCCUGUUCGGUUUCACUAGGAGUUGAGGUAUAGUUUUCCCGCUGCACCUUGCUGACCGUAGGUUACCUGUUAACCUAUGUGUAGUGUUAUAUUUCCUUCUUGUAGAGCUCUG
rnacentral:lncRNA from 1 species